rnacentral:misc_RNA from 1 species
AAACUGCGAUAAGUAGUGUGAAUUGCAUUUAGUGAAUCAUCGAAUCUUUGAACGCACCCUGCACUCACUGGUAUUCCGGUGAGUACGCCUGUUUCAGUAUCAUUGAAAACACACAAUCAAAACAUUUUCUUUGGUUUGAUUGGCUUUGGGUCUAUCAAAAAGUUUGGCUUGUUUCUUACAAGCCAAGCGGCCUGAAAUAUAUUGUCUGGCUAAUUGCAUCGUUGAUGAUCGCUAUUAGACUUUGGCUUUUUUAAAUGAACUGGAGGUUGAUUAACCAGUUUUAGCUUUAGUCAAAUGGUCAUUGUAAAAAAAAUCUCGAUCUUGGCUAGGUGUUUAUAGCCGAAAAUUUUUUUUUGGCUAUAACCGAAACCAAUAUAAUCACAUUUAGUUAUCGAUCUGAAAUCAGGUGGGACUACCCGCUGAACUUAAGCA